UUUCCGUAGGUGAACCUGCGGAAGGAUCAUUACUGAGUGAGGGCCCCUCGGGGUCCAACCUCCCACCCGUGUUUAACGAACCUUGUUGCUUCGGCGGGCCCGCCUCACGGCCGCCGGGGGGCAUCUGCCCCCGGGCCCGCGCACGCCGAGGCCACCUGUGAACGCUGUCUGAAGUAUGCAGUCUGAGACAAUUAUUAAAUUAAUUAAAACUUUCAACAACGGAUCUCUUGGUUCCG
rnacentral:misc_RNA from 1 species